GCAUCAAAAUGAGAAAGUUCAAAUAUUCACAAUUAUCCUUACUGGAUUUGAUUGACUAUUUUAUUGAAAUGUGUUUUCCACAGGCCAGUGUGAAAUUUCUACAGUAGGCACAUAGAAACUUGUGAUGUCUGAAAUUAUCCAAAAGAGGGCGCUCUUCACCCAAAAAUUAAUAAACUGAACCAAUUCUUCAAAGGGCACAUGAGAGGAGGAGAUACAAGGUACUCUGAUUACUUCAGGCAUGCAGAAGUUUUAGAGAUAGUUCAACAUAGCUGUUCAUUUUUUUUGUCUCUGUCAGAAAUGAUAUUCCUAUUUUGUCUGUGUCUUAUCUUCCUCUUAACAAGUGAUGCCUCUAGUGAGGGAAUAGCACCAGUCUCUCCUAAUGAAUUAGUCUCAGAAGGUAAAACAAUCACCCUGUCCUGCAGUUACAAUGGAUCUGCUGCUACAGAUGCUCUCCACUGGUAUCGUCAGUACCCGAGAUCCAGACCAGACUUCCUGUUUCUGGUUAAUGAAGCUAAAUUUAAGCAACCAGCUGAGCCUCCAAUUCCUGGAAUAUCUGCUAGAUUAAAUGAGGAGAAGAAUCGUGUGGAUCUGGAGAUCAAUGGCACUGCAUUAACUGAUUCUGCUCUGUAUUACUGCGCCCUGCAGCCCACAGUGACAGGAAACACACACCCACUGUACAAAAAUCAGACACAUUCAGAACGGAAACUAAAAUCCAUGUCUAGUGUAAAAAUUAAUAUUUCUCUGUCACUAUAAAAUACAUACAACCAUGUAGAGUCUACAUUUUGAGACAUUUUAGUGCUAAUUUUGCCUAA